GCAGAGAAGCUGAGGCUUACUGCAGACAAGCAACUUGCCCAGAGUCAGAGGAAAAGGAAGUGGGCACCUGAGUGAGACUCUGCCAGGCUCUGCUGGGAGCCCUUCAUGUGUACAGGCUGAUCCCAGGCUCACAGCAAGCCCGUGAGGUCCAGGCGGUCGCCAUUCUCCUCAUGCUUACAGAUGGGGAAACCGAGGCACAGCUCAUCUCCGAGGUCCCCGUGUUAGGAAACGUCAGAGCCAGGAUUUGAACUCAGGCAACUUCUCGCCGGAGUCUGUGCUCUGGACCCCACGGGGAGGGGUGAGAUGGAAGCCAGGCAUUUACAGAAGCCAAGACCAGGGAAGAGCAUGGACCUUAGACCACAGCACCCCUGAACCAUCGAGCCCCUGCCACACUUCCUGGAAUGCUCUUUGUGGAGCAUUGAAUAGUGUUCACCCAAAAGUCAUGCCCUCCUCCGAAUGUAACCUCAUCUGGAAAUGGGGACACUGCAGAUGUCAUGAAGGUAAGGACGGAAAAGAGCGCGCACUGGAGUAGGCUGGGCAUGAAAUCCAGGGAGAGAGUCCUUCUGGGAAGGAGGAGAGCAGACACAGAGACACACAGGAGGGCGACACGGAGGCACAGGCGGAGACUGCAGUGGAAUCAUGCUUCCACAAGCCGAGGAACACCGACGGCUGCCGGCACACCACAGCUAGGAGCGCCAAGGGCUGCCGGUACACCACACACCACAGCUGCACAGAGGCCUGGGACAGAUGCUCCCAUGGAGCCUGCACAAGAAGCCUCUCUGCCCACACCUUGACUUUGGACUUGAAGCCUUCAGAGCGGUGAGAGGAGAGGCUCCUGUUGCGUGAGGCCGGCAGCCCCAGGACACACACUCUUCCCGUGGGGCCAGCUCCUCCCUCCCCAGCACCACGAGGCGCCCCGGAGAAUUGGGCUCUUGACCCGGGCCAGGCAGGAAAUGCAGGCUUGCUCUUUAAAACACAUUAAAAGGGAUCCUGCAAAGGUUAAAAAAAAUAAGCAGAUGAACAAGAUAAGCGUUCCCCUGGGACCUGAAAGACGCAGAAGAACAAGUAGGAGGAACAUUCGGAGGAGAAGACCUAGCUGCAGCUGGGUCCUGGCAAAGUUAUCGGGUUCUGCUCCCUCUGCCUGGGUGAGGUACUGGCAAAGUUCUCCGGUUCUGCGCCCUCUGCCCAGUUUGACCAAGGAGCUUAUGUUUUUAAGUCAUGGAAUAAAACAUGGAUUACUAUUGUGGGUUGAACUGCAUCCCCCAAAAAGAUCAGUGGAGGUCCUAGAAACACAGGACUUCAGAAUGUGACUGUGUCUGAAGACAAGGUCAUUGCAGAUGUAAUUGUUAAGAUGAAAUCAUACUGGAGCAGGCUGGGCCCACUCCAGUACGACCGAUGUCAUCAUAAGAGAAGAGACACAGAGACUCCACGUGGAGACAGAGGCGGAGAUGGGAGCAAUGUGGCCACAAACCCAGGGUUGCCACAACCAGCAGAAACUAGGAGGAGGCGAGGCAGGAGCCUCCCCUGCGCCUCCAGAGAGAGCCUGGCCCUGCCAAUACCGUGAUUUCGGACUUCUUUUAACCUCCAGAAUUGUGCAAGAAUAAAUGUUGCUUGUUUUGAGCCACCCAGCUUGUGGUCCUCAGUUACAACAGUCCCAGGAAACUAAUACAUCUAGUAAAUAAAAUGAGAGCGGUUUCUCUGCAUGAACUGAAAUGAUGGCGGGCUCUGCAGGGACAGUUCGCAGACAUCUGCAAACAAAUACUGUCCAAACCGUGGUAAACAGCCGUCUUUUAUUUCGGCGAAAGCCUUUGGGCCAGUUUUCGUAUGUUGUUGGAAGCACUAAAUCUCUCGCUGGCAGAGAUCUGCAAGCAGCUACAAGCCAGCGGCUCACCUGCAGCAAAACGCCUGGAGGCAGGUCCAUGCAAUGCCCACGUCUUGCAUGUCAUUGUGCAGUUAAACAGCUCCUGAACCAGAGAGCAGCUGCGCCCAGACAGCUUCCCGGGUGGUAAGAACUGUAUUUGACCUCCUGGCAGCACAAACGACUGAAUAACAAUUAAACAAAACAGGACAGUCUCCGUGUUUCAAAAUGCGCAUUUAAACCUAAAAGAAACACGGUGUGUUUACUUUCUGAGCCUGGCCUUCCCUGGGUGCACAGUGAGCCACUUCUGAAAGCGUAUGGGCACACCCGCUACAGAAACCAGCUUACACUGGCUCGGUUGCCAGUCCUGGGGCAUUUCAGAAGAAUUGAGUCAGAAAGGUGUUUUCUGUGGGUGAUUCAAAGGCUCCAGGUCUCCAGAAAUUUGUUGCAUGAAAUGGAGAAUAAGUAGGCUCGGGCUCGGACUUGGCCGCGUGCAGCUUCAGGGGUGAAGCUGCUUGGAGGCCAGGGGCCAGCCCCAGUGCUUGGAUGCUGGGGUGCAGAUCCGGGAAUGGGAUGAUAGCCAGGUGGAAAGGGGGAGGUGGCUCCUGGGUCUUGGAGAAGAGGGUGAGAAUAUAACCAAAGAUUUGUCUGAAAGCCAGACAGUGGAGAGUCAGCUUGGCUGUGAAUCAUACCUAGUUUGAGCAUAAAGAUGAGAAGUGAAAACAGAGAUGGGGAGGUAAAAAAGGAGGGGGAGGUGAACAGAGAGGCUUAGGUCCCCAUCGAUAACAGUAGCUAAUGACACGUGAACACGGGAUCUCUUUGCUUGCUUUUCUUUUUUUUUUUUUUUUUAAGACAGGGUCUUGCUCUGUCACCAAAGCUGGAGUGCAGUGGCACAAUCAUGGCUCACUGCAGCCUCAACCUCCCGGGUUCCAGUGAUCCACCCAUCUCAGCCUCCAGAGUAGCUGGGACUACAGGGGUGCACCACCAUACCUGGCUAUUUUUAGUAUUUUUUGUAGAGACGGGUUUUUUUGCCAUGUUGCCCAGGCUGGUCUCGAACUCCUGGGUUUAAGUGAUCUGCCUGCCUCAGCCUCCCAAAGUGCUGGGGGAUUACAGGUGUGAGCCACUGCAUCUGGCCAAGGGAUAUCUUUUGAGAUCUUCUUGCCCCAGAGCUUAAUUUCAGAAUCCAGCGUGAUUGUUAAAGAAGAAAAUAAACGGGCUUUUUCUAUUUUACCUGGAGCAUGUCACCAGGACAAUUUUCAUCCAAAGACCUAGUUCAAUGGGGCUCCUUCCCCAAGCUCCCCACACACGCUCCGGGAAUCGAUUUUUUUUACAGUUGUCUGAAGUGCAAGUCAAGCUUUUGCACACACACUCUCUCUCUUUCUCUUUUUCUCUGUCUUAAAUUGCCAGAAAUGUACAAUUUUCCUAAUGGAGAGUUUAUUUCAGGCUCAUCAAGAUAAAAUAAAUUCCGCUGGUGUGCAGCCGGCCAGGCGCAGGGCAGAGCGGCGGCAAGCGGCCCGCGGGCAGAGGGGGCAGCGAGGGUCCAUGCUCAGCGUCUGAACGUUACAUUGGCAUCUGGGGAGGGGGGGGGCUCCAUGUGUGGUCACGUGAACUCCGAGAACGAACCUGGCUGAGCACAGUCGACCUUGUCACUGUCAUGACCCAAGGUGUCCUCUGUGACUGGACAUGGGGCGGGGUGCGUUACGUAGAUGACUCGUUAAGCUCUAGUGGCUAACUCAGUGCGUCCAUGAAGGCUGUGCGGAGAUGCGGCCGGCAGAAGGCAAACAUAGAUGACGCUGGGGAUAUCGGUGUAAAUACGGGUAUGGCCAGUUGGUCGAUACAGAAGGGUUUGUUUGAAGGCCUUCGCUCACACGAUUGUGGCUGCUGGCAAAUCCAAAAUCUAUAAGGCAGGCUGGCGGCUGGAGCCUCAGGCAGGAUUUCUACGAGGCAGAAUUUCUCCUCCUUCGGGAAACCUGCUUCCCCUCGGAAGGCCUUCUGUGGGCUGCGUGAUGUGCUCCCACAUGCUCAGGGGCAAGCUCCUUUAUUGGCUGUAGGCAUCGGCCACAUCCCCAAAACACCUGCCCAGCAACCCUGAGAUGACUGCUUGGGUUCGUCUCCAGGUACGCUAAGCCUGCCCACAUAAAACUGACUGCCACACACUGACGUUCUCCGGUGAGAGAUGGGAGACUCAGAGAGGCCACUUCCUUUGCCAGGGUUGUAGAGCAAUGGAAGGGCUUGAGUGGUCAGGUCUUUGGGUCUCAUUGCCUGUGGUUCUAAACUAGCAGAGUGUGGAAUGCCUCGGCUUCCACUGACCCUGUGGCCCCGGCAGGGCCUCCACCAUCAGGACCGCCGAGCACGCCCUCCUGCCAGGAGCGACGUCCUCCUUCCUGAGAAGUUUCUCGUGGGUGGGAGGGAUGGGAACCGGACUCUUGACACCUCCCUGGUGCCCCAGCCCCACCCUCGCAAGGCGGACCACCCAGAAGGUUCUUCCGGCCCCUUUUCCAAAGCCCUCCUGCCUCACUUAACCCAGCCCAGGUUAACUGAUGACUGUGGGAAGAGAUGUUUCCAGCAGCACACUGUCUUGUAAUCCAAGGGGCCCUGGAAAAAGGGGUUUCGCAGCGGCACUGUGGUCUCAGAGUCCAUGCGAGAGGAAACACAUCUGUCCCUGUAUUUUCCGCAGACACCCCCCCUCGCCUCCCCCACGUCCCCACAGGCUGUCAUAUUGUUUCCAGUUGUGUUUAUGGUAAACUCAGGCCAUAACACGCCUCUGUCGUUGUAAAAGAUGGAAAGAGUCUUAGGAGAGAAAUUUUCAUCCCAGGCCUUUCAAGCGGCAUUUUCCCGGUGGUAGAGGUGAAUGGGAAACAUGAAGCAGCUGCCUGCAGGAACGUUUUUCCCUCUGUGGCAAGGAUAAACAGUGAAAGGCGUUUGCUGAAGAUGGAAAGAGACACUGUGCAAACCAAUAUGCACAGCUCCUGAGGCCUGUGCUGGGGGCCGUGGCUUGCUGACGUCUCUCCAAAUACGCAAGUCAGAGAAGGGCUGACUCACAGGUCAUGGAUUGCAAAAAAUAUGGCACAAGCCUGACUUCGAACUUUCAAAGGGACAAGGACGUGCACGCCACAGCCACAGCCCCAGACCAGGGUGUAGGCCGUGGGGCUCCAGCUCCCUUCUGGGCAUCACUGCUGUGUGUCCUUGGGAGAGUGUCUCCGCCUCUCUGGCACCUCCCUUCACUCUGGAAACCUGUCCAUCAGGCCAGGGGACUGGGGUGGCGUGCGGCCUACCUCCUCCCACCUUCCGAGCCCAACCCCAAAACUGGAUAAGCAGUCAGCUUGCACUCUGAACCCAGAACUGAAACGAGGAUUAAGCUUCGCUUUGUGCGUGCCACAAACCAGACACCACAUCCAACCUCCGGCUCUAGGGCCAGGAACUCCAAUCACCAAGCAUUUUUGGAAAACCAAAUCAAAGCUAGAUGGCUUUUCUAACAUGUUAUAUUGUAUUAAAGAUUGAAAAUGACAUUGAGAAGUAAAAAUAAAUUGGAAAUAACUGGAAAAAUCUAAAUGUCCAGUAACAUUGGGGGAUUCAUUAAAAAUUCUGACCCAAUGGAACGUCGACGAGCCACCACAAUGACCUUUUUAAAGAAUGUUCCCUGCUGGGCAAAGAUGCUCAUGAAAUCUUACUUGAAAAAUAAAGUAGGCCAUGGAAAGGUA